CAUUUUCUUUCUCAUUCCUUUUCUUCUGUCGUGGAAACAUAAUGCUAUCCCUAUCCCUUAUUUUAGUCAUCUAUCCGCCCCCCAAAAAUGUUUGGAGCGCCUUUAAUCUUUUUAAUUUCUUCACCCAUCACUCGUAUUUCUCUCACUAGUGGGCGGAACAACGGCUGCUUCUUGUGCAUAUUAGGACUGAGUUCUCGGGUAAAGAGGUUUUGAAAGUCUGUUAAAAUUUAGAAGCCCAAAUUAGUGAUCCCUGAUGGGCCGAAAUAAACCGGUUUUGCGCGCGUUGGAAAUCGCCGUCAUCUUUUCUGUGUACUGUAGUGUUUAGUUAACACGGCGAGUCGAAAACAGCCACUGAACACUUCUGGCAACGGGCCAAAACUAAGAAGAGAGCGCCAUGCAUUGCAUCAAAUGAAGUAAGAGUUGGAAUCCGUCUGAUAUCGGAAACCUAAACCUAUACCUUUAUAAGAUAGAUCCUUAUCUUUAUAUUCCCUAGAUAACUAUGUAAUUUUAAGGAAUUAAAGUUUACCUUUUUUUCUGUUGGUGGUUUAAGCGCACAACCCAUCGCUGUUUCCUAUAGUUCCGGAAGGGCAGCCAGAUCCUGUUGUCUCUAGUGAAUAAACCGAAGAGCCGAUCCAGUUACCAGCCGGUCCAUAGUUACACACGUAUAAUCGGUUGUAGGAAUAACCCGCAGUCUAUACAUGAAAAGAACCAGCAGUAGAGUAAUCGUUUUCAAGUAAGCUACACCUCAGCCCAAACUAUAAGUCUCUGCCCACACUAAUUGCGUGUAAUGACCAAUGCUGUUUGUUGGGUUUAAUCUGUAAUCAAAUCAUGCAGACAAUUAAAGCAAACCACUCGUCAUGGAUUGAACUUCAUCGUACCAAUAUGCCAUCGCUUCGGUCCAGUUGGAUGCACCAAGAUUGUCGACGGAGGAUUCAACGAUGUAAAUAUUUUGACCCACUCGAAAGCGACCUUUAUUUAUGGACAAUUAUAUAAGGCUACCGAACCAAUUGGAGAGUUCAGCAUUAGCUAUACUUUGAUCUUACCGACAUCUCUGCAAAUGUCUUGUUCGUAAACGCAUUGCAGAGCGUGCGCUGUUGACAUCGCGGCUAGCUCAUCAUCCCAGAACUAUAAAGGAAAAGAAAACUAUAAGUAUUUUUAAUUCAAACUUUUUAACAAUUUAAAUACUAAUUAUAGUCUUACUGUAUACUGUUGUUAUGCUACACAAAUUAAUGGCAACGUUUCAAAGAUAACUUUAUUUAUCACCCUAAAAUAUUUAUUUAUUAAC